rnacentral:rRNA from 1 species
AUUGAACGCUGGCGGCAGGCCUUACACAUGCAAGUCGAGCGAGCGGCGGCCGGGUGAGUAAUGUCUGGGAAACUGCCUGCUGGAGGGGGAUAACUACUGGACACGGUAGCUAAUACUGCAUACCAUCAGAUGUGCCCCGAUGGGAUUAGCUAGGAGGUGGGGUAACGGCUCACCUAGGCGACGAUCCCUAGCUGGUCUGAGAGGAGGACCAGCCACACUGGAACUGAGACACGGUCCAGACUCCUACGGGAGGCAGAAGUGGGGAAUAUUGGACAAUGGGCGAAAGCCUGAUGCAGCCAUGCCGCGUGUGUGAAGAAGGCCUUCGGGUUGUAAAGCACUUUCAGCGGGGAGGCGUUACCCGCAGAAGAAGCACCGGCUAACUCCGUGCCAGCAGCCGCGGUAAUUC